rnacentral:rRNA from 1 species
CCUACGGGAGGCAGCAGUGAGGAAUAUUGGUCAAUGGGCGGAAGCCUGAACCAGCCAAGUCGCGUGAGGGAAUAAGGCCCUACGGGUCGUAAACCUCUUUUGCCGGGGAGCAAGGGCGGGGACGUGUCCCGGCCCGGAGAGUACCCGGAGAAAAAGCAUCGGCUAACUACGUGCCAGCAGCCGCGGUAAUACGUAGGGGGCAAGCGUUGUUCGGAAUGACUGGGCGUAAAGGGUGUGUAGGCGGUGUAGCAAGUUAGAAGUGAAAUACCUAGAGCUUAACUCAGGUGCUGCUUCUAAAACUGCUA